UACGAAGGGGACUAGCGUUGUUCGGAUUUACUGGGCGUAAAGCGCGCGUAGGCGGAUCGCUAAGUCAGGGGUGAAAUCCCAAGGCUCAACCUUGGAACUGCCUUUGAUACUGACGAUCUGGAGAUUGGGAGAGGUGAGUGGAAUUCCGAGUGUAGAGGUGAAAUUCGUAGAUAUUCGGAGGAACACCAGAAGCGAAGGCGGCUCACUGGCCCAAUACUGACGCUGAGGCGCGAAAGCGUGGGGAGCAAACAGG
rnacentral:rRNA from 1 species